rnacentral:rRNA from 1 species
AUGGGUGAGGAAAUCCUUCCAGCCAACUUAAUUGUCGUCUGCUAUAGCAUUGUUGGUGUUCCUAUUUGGUCCAAGUUUGCUACAAGAUUCAAACAAAAAGAGGCUUGUUUUCUUGAGCACUUCAUGACACAGUGCAUCGAUUUGGGCUUUUCUCCUAGUGUCGCUCUAGCACAUUUGCAGAUAUGGCAAGCUGUUUUUGUUGCUUUUUUCAGUUCCAAGGAGGCAAUGGAUCAAUUGUGGGUUUCCUAUUGUCAAAGAAUCUGCUCUGUUUCACCUUGGUGGCGAGACAAUUUGGACAGUGUAAAUGAUGCUUGUUGGAAGGGUGCUCUUGAUGCAAUUCAGGUGACAUGGGACCCAGGAGGUUCAACACGACAUUGA